rnacentral:miRNA from 1 species
UCCCCCGAGCAAAGCGGAAAAGUCGAAUACGAGCGCGAAAGGCUGCUGGGAAUCGCUAAUAAAUGAAUGAAUUUAUUAGCGAUUCCCAGCAGUCUUUCGCGCUCGUAUUCGACUUUUCCGCUUUGCUUGGGGGACA